GUGCUCGCUUUGCCAGCACAUAUACUAAACUUGGAAUGAUACAGAGAUUAGCAUGACCCUUGCAUAAGGAUGACGUCCAAAUUCGUGAAGCAUUCCAUAUUUUU